rnacentral:rRNA from 2 species
UCAAGUCGUAACUGGGCAGCACGGGCCGGGUAACCGGUGGGUGGCGAGUGGCGGACGGGUGAGUAAUGCGUAGGAAUCUGCCUUGUAGUGGGGGAUAACUCGGGGAAACUCGGGCUAAUACCGCAUACGCUCUACGGAGGAAAGCGGGGGAUCUUCGGACCUCGCGCUAUGAGAUGAGCCUACGUCCGAUUAGCUAGUUGGCAGGGUAAUGGCCUACCAAGGCGACGAUCGGUAGCUGGUCUGAGAGGACGAUCAGCCACACUGGAACUGAGACACGGUCCAGACUCCUACGGGAGGCAGCAGUGGGGAAUAUUGGACAAUGGGCGCAAGCCUGAUCCAGCAAUGCCGCGUGUGUGAAGAAGGCCUGCGGGUUGUAAAGCACUUUAAGCAGGGAAGAAGGGUGGGGGGUUAAUACCCUCUCACAUUGACGUUACCUGCAGAAUAAGCACCGGCUAACUCCGUGCCAGCAGCCGCGGUAAUACGGAGGGUGCGAGCGUUAAUCGGAAUUACUGGGCGUAAAGCGCGCGUAGGCGGUUUGUUAACUCAGCUGUGAAAGCCCCGGGCUUAACCUGGGAAUGGCAUUUGAUACUGGCAAGCUAGAGUGUGGUAGAGGGGUGUGGAAUUUCCGGUGUACCACUGAAAUGCGUAAAGAUCGGAAGGAACACCAAUGGCGAAGGCGGCACCCUGGACCACNUCUGACGCUGAGGUGCGAAAGCGUGGGGGGC